AAUAAGGUCAUUUUACAGUUUUUAGAUACAAUGUUUUGACUCUUCGUCUUAUUUGUAAUUUUUCGUGAUUAAUAUUUUUAUUGUUACUAGAUGGUAAAACAUGAAUAGUACUUUAUGCGUGACUAUUUUUUAAAGUUUUUGCACAAAUUUUUCAAAUAAGACGAAUGGUCAAAGCAUUGGGUACAUAAAUCGAAAAAUAAUUUUAUU
rnacentral:pre_miRNA from 1 species